UCCGGUUUGUCACCGGCAGUCUCAUUAGAGUGCCCUUUCGUAGCAACUAAUGACAAGGGUUGCGCUCGUUGCGGGACUUAACCCAACAUCUCACGACACGAGCUGACGACAGCCAUGCAGCACCUGUGCGCCGGUUCUCUUUCGAGCACUCCCACCUCUCAGCAGGAUUCCGACCAUGUCAAGGGUAGGUAAGGUUUUUCGCGUUGCAUCGAAUUAAUCCACAUCAUCCACCGCUUGUGCGGGUCCCCGUCAAUUCCUUUGAGUUUUAAUCUUGCGACCGUACUCCCCAGGCGGUCUACUUCUCGCGUUAGCUGCGUUACCAAGCCUAGUAAGGCCCAACAACUAGUAGACAUCGUUUAGGGCGUGGACUAC
rnacentral:misc_RNA from 1 species